rnacentral:rRNA from 1 species
UACGUAGGGGGCAAGCGUUGUCCGGAUUUAUUGGGCGUAAAGAGCGUGUAGGCGGCCAAGCAGGUCCGCUGUGAAAACUCGAGGCUCAACCUCGAGACGUCGGUGGAAACCGUUUGGCUAGAGUCCGGAAGAGGAGAGUGGAAUUCCUGGUGUAGCGGUGGAAUGCGCAGAUAUCAGGAAGAACACCCGUGGCGAAGGCGGCUCUCUGGAACGCAACUGACGCUGAGGCGCGAAGGCGUGGGGAGCAAACAGG